ensembl:ncRNA Y53C10A.23 ncRNA
ACUGUAGGUUUGCCCCUUUAGGGGUACUGUACACUUGGUACCGUAGGUGGGUACUGUCUCGGAUACUGUAUCUUGGAAGUAUUACUGUAGGGGUACUGUAUCUGUACUAGUUUGUGGGAGUACUGUAGAUUUGUGGCUGUAAAUGGUAC